rnacentral:sRNA from 1 species
CUGUUGUGGAGAAAUUAAGUGAAUAUGAGUAUCAAUACCGGCGGCAGUGAGAAUCAAAUGUUCACCGGAAAUGGCAUCGGUACUGACCCCCACCACCAGUCCAGGUGUAACUCCGUCCAUCACGCCUGGGUUGCCACUUUUACCAAUACCAACAAUUUUACCAUCACGGAUACCGACGUCGGCUUUGAUAACCCCUAAACGGGCAUCAACAAUAGUGACGUUGGUUAUGACUAAAUCCAGUACACCGUUAUCGCGGGUCAGAUGGUUAUUCGCGCCCAUCCCGUCACG